ensembl:snRNA U6 U6 spliceosomal RNA
GUGCUCACUUCAGCAGCACAUACACUAAAAUUGGAACAAUACAGAGAAGACUAGCAUGGCCCCUGCAUAAGGAUG